GAUGAACGCUGGCGGCGUGCUUAACACAUGCAAGUCGAACGAAGCGCCUUAUUUGAUUUUCUUCGGAACUGAAGAUUUGGUGACUGAGUGGCGGACGGGUGAGUAACGCGUGGGUAACCUGCCCUGUACAGGGGGAUAACAAUCAGAAAUGACUGCUAAUACCGCAUAAGACCACAGCACCGCAUGGUGCAGGGGUAAAAACUCCGGUGGUACAGGAUGGACCCGCGUCUGAUUAGCUGGUUGGUGAGGUAACGGCUCACCAAGGCGACGAUCAGUAGCCGGCUUGAGAGAGUGAACGGCCACAUUGGGACUGAGACACGGCCCAAACUCCUACGGGAGGCAGCAGUGGGGAAUAUUGCACAAUGGGGGGAACCCUGAUGCAGCGACGCCGCGUGAGUGAAGAAGUAUUUCGGUAUGUAAAGCUCUAUCAGCAGGGAAGAAAAUGACGGUACCUGACUAAGAAGCC
rnacentral:rRNA from 1 species